CACGGGGGGAGCAAGCGUUGUUCGGAAUCACUGGGCGUAAAGGGCGUGUAGGCGGUUAGGUAAGUGGGAUGUGAAAGCCCCCGGCUCACCCGGGGACCUGCAUUCCAAACUGCCUGACUUGAGUAUGGGAGAGGAUAGGGGAAUUCCUGGUGUAGCGGUGAAAUGCGUAGAUAUCAGGAGGAACACCGGUGGCGAAGGCGCCUAUCUGGCCCAAUACUGACGCUGAGGCGCGAAAGCUAGGGGAGCAAACGGG
rnacentral:rRNA from 1 species